rnacentral:pre_miRNA from 1 species
UUGAAUAACUCAUCAAGAUGUAAAACUUUUAUUUUGGUCAUUUCUUCAUCCGACAAAGUGAUACUAACAUUGUUCACAAAAUUGACGUAUCUCUUAUCUGGUUUUAUAAACUAUAACACAUAUAUGUAAAAUUUAUGAACAAUGUUAUUAACACUUUAUCGGGUGAAGAAAUGACAAAAAUAAAAGUUUUAGAUCUUGAUGAGUUAUACAG